GGAUAGAUCUCAGCCCUGGGGCAGUUAGUGGUUAGAAGAAGCUCUUACUGCAGUGUUCUGGCUCAGGUCUAGUGGGUAUUGGCUUCUCCUGCAGUACAGCCCUUUUUAUUUCUCAUUAGUUAAUUGGGUGUUUUUCCAACCCUAUUAUAGUUAAUGAUCUCUCAUACUAAAAUUUCCCUUUUCAAAUUCCAGGGUGGCUUCUCUCUUUUAAGUUGACUUUGCAUUUCCAUAUGACUUUUAGAAGCAGUUUGUAAAAUGCCCACUGUGAUUUUAAUUGGAAUUAUAUUGUAUUUAGACAAAUUUGGAGAGAGUUGACACCAUAACAAUACUGAGCCUUCUGACCCUUCGAUAAGAUAUUUCCAUUUAGAUAAUUAGUUUCUAUCAGUAGUGUUUUAGAUUUUCAAUAUACUGAUUUCUCCCCUGUUUUGUCAGAUUAAUUCUUUUUAGUAUUUUGGUUUCUUUUUUUUGAUGAUUUUAUAAAUGGUAUUUAAAAAUAAAUUUCUAAUUGUUCAUUGCUCAUAUGCAGUUCUUCAAAUUUUUUGCAUAUUGCCAUAACUUUGAUAAUUACUAUUUUGGUAGAUUAAUAUUAUAUUGGAUCUUCAACUUAGACAUUUUAAAUAUGUAUUUUGUGACUAAAGAAAGUUGUUUUCCCUCUAAUCUUGAUGCCUGUCUUUUCUCUUGCCUCACUUCAGUAGCUAGUACUUUUAAUGCAUGUAUAAUGCUGAGUAAUUAGACAUCUCGAUCUUGUUUCUAAUGUUACAGGGAAACAUCUCUGACAAUUAAGAUGAAACUUGUGUAUUUCUCAGAUCUUUGAAAUACCCUUUGUUGCACUGAGAAAAUAUUGUCAUAUUCCUAGUUUGUAGAAAUU
rnacentral:lncRNA from 1 species